CAGUCGCCGCGGUAAAACGGAGGGUGCAAGCGUUAAUCGGAAUUACUGGGCGUAAAGCGUGCGUAGGCGGUUCGUUAAGUCUGUUGUGAAAGCCCCGGGCUCAACCUGGGAAUGGCAAUGGAUACUGGCGAGCUAGAGUGUGUCAGAGGAUGGUGGAAUUCCCGGUGUAGCGGUGAAAUGCGUAGAGAUCGGGAGGAACAUCAGUGGCGAAGGCGGCUAUCUGGGACGACACUGACGCUGAGGCACGAAAGCGUGGGGAGCAAACAGGAUUAGAUACCCCAGUAGUCCCUGUCUCUUAUAC
rnacentral:rRNA from 1 species